rnacentral:sRNA from 1 species
GCCAGGUGUGGUGGCACACGCCUGUCAUCCCAGUGGCUCAGGAGGCUGAGGCAGGAGGAUCUCGAGUUCAAAGCCAGCCUCAGCAACUGAGUGAGGCCCUGAGCAACUCAGUGAGACCCUGUCUCUA